CACGUAGGGGGCAAGCGUUGUCCGGAUUUAUUGGGCGUAAAGAGCUCGUAGGCGGCUCACUAAGUCGGGUGUGAAAUUUCGAGGCUCAACCUCGAAACGCCACCCGAUACUGGUGUGGCUAGAGUCCGGUAGGGGAGCGUGGAAUUCCUGGUGUAGCGGUGAAAUGCGCAGAUAUCAGGAGGAACACCGAUGGCGAAGGCAGGUCUCUGGGCAUUAACUGACGCUGAGGAGCGAAAGCAUGGGGAGCGAACAGG
rnacentral:rRNA from 1 species